rnacentral:snRNA from 1 species
AUGCUCACUUUGGCAGCACAUAUACUAAAAUUGGAAUGAUACAGACAUUAGCAUGGCCCCUGCACAAGGAUGACACACAAAUUCGUGAAAUGUUCCAUUAAAAA